UGCGUUGAGGCGCAGCAGUUGACUGGGCAUCUAGGGGUAAAGCACUUUUUCGGUGUGGGCUGCGCGAGCGAUACCAAAUCGAGGCAAACUCUGAAUACUAAAUAUGACCCAAAAAUAACAAGGGUCAAGGUUGGCCAGUGAGACGAUGGGGGAUAAGCUUCAUCGUCGAGAGGGAAAUAACCC
rnacentral:ncRNA from 1 species